AGCUUGAACGGAACACUAGGAUGUCUGAGCCUUCUUUAUCUUCCUUCCUGUGGUCUUUACACAGGGACGUUCCAAGUGACCUCAAGAAGGCACACCAUCCGAAGAGAGGGGCUACCAUGAAUGAAGACAGCAAUGAAGAAGAGGAAGAAAGUGAAAAUGAUUGGGAAGAGGUUGAAGAACUUACUGAGCCUGUGCUGGGUGACGUGAGAGAAAGUACAGCCUUCUCUCGAUCUCUUCUGCCUGUGAAGCCAGUGGAAAUAGAGAUUGAAACGCCAGAGCAGGCGAAGACAAGAGAAAGAAGUGAAAAGAUAAAACUGGAGUUUGAGACACAUCUUCGGAGGGCGAUGAAACGUUUCAAUAAAGAGGUCCACGAGGACACACACAAGGUUCACCUUCUCUGCCUGCUAGCAAAUGGUUUGUAUCGAAAUAACAUCUGCAGCCAGCCAGAUCUGCAUGCUAUUGGCCUCUCCAUCGUCCCAGCCCGCUUUACCAGAGUGCUGCCUCGAGAUGUGGACACCUACUACCUCUCAAACCUGGUGAAGUGGUUCAUUGGAACAUUUACAGUUAAUGC
rnacentral:sRNA from 1 species